GCUGAGGUGGCGAAAUCGGCAGACGCAGGGGACUUAAAAUCCCCCGGAUUUAUUCCGUAUGGGUUCAAGUCCCAUCCUCAGCA
rnacentral:tRNA from 1 species